UGGGGAAUUGUUCACAAUGGGCGCAAGCCUGAUGACGCAACGCCGCGUGGGGGAUGAAGGUCUUCGGAUCGUAAACCCCUGUCGAAUGGGACGAAAGACUCGCGAGUGAAUACUUCGCGAGAGUGACGGUACCGUUAAAGGAAGCCACGGCUAACUCUGUGCCAGCAGCCGCGGUAAUACAGAGGUCCCAAGCGUUGUUCGGAUUCACUGGGCGUAAAGGGUGCGUAGGUGGUUGGGUAAGUCUGAUGUGAAAUCUCCGGGCCUAACCCGGAAACUGCAUCGGAUACUAUUCGACUGGAGGGUUGGAGGGGGGACUGGAAUACUUGGUGUAGCAGUGAAAUGCGUAGAUAUCAAGUGGAACACCAGUGGCGAAGGCGAGUCCCUGGACAACUCCUGACACUGAGGCACGAAAGCUAGGGGAGCAAACAGGAUUAGAUACCCAAGUAGUCCCUGAGCGGGCUGGCAAGGCGCAU
rnacentral:rRNA from 1 species